UAGCUAUUCUGGCUCUCUUUUUCCCAUUUUCCAAAUUUUGCCCUCCUUUAUCUUCUUUUUCAUCUGCCGUCAAACUCUCUACACAAUUUCUGCCCUCAAACCUCUUGCCAUAUUUCAGAUAUUCUCCUUCAUCUUCUCCGACAAAUCUGUAACUUUCUCUCCUUCUGUUCCCAUAUUUCAGUUAGCAGAUGGUUAUGAUCUGUGCUGAUGGAUGCUCUAUGAUUGAUCGAAGAAUGGGCAUUUAUGGAGUCAGAGUUACCAACUUUUAAAGAGAAAAACCCUCAGCUGGAGGUGGUUACUGAACUCAUUCGUGGGCAGCAUCCACAUUUGAAAGGCUUUUACAAUAAGAGACUCUUUCUUGGAUGAGUUUCAGACAUGAUGCAUUCACGUAUGCGAUGUUUUUAACCAUGUCUCAAAACAUGUAUCUUGCCAAUUUCUCAGAGAACAAAAACGAGCGGGUGGUAUGCGUGAAGAAUAUGACUCCUGAAGAUAUCCUUCUUUAUGCAACUAGGCUAAGAAACGCAUUGGGAAGAAAGGUGGUGAAAUUGAAGACAAGGCAUGUAACUAAACACCUAGUGUGCAAGGUACAUGGACAACUGAUGUGAAAUUUUGAGACACAGCAGUACCAAGUUCUUCACAAUUUUUUCUGUAUGUUUCUUUAUUGUUCUAUGUAGUCAUGAUGGCAACUUUGUUGAAACAUUCACUUUUUGGAGGUGAAUGAAAUUGUUGUGUAGUGAACAAAGGCUAAUGAUGUCGUAAUAGAUGAUUGGACCCAAAUAUUUAAUAA